AGCCGACAGUCAGUCAAUGUACGGCAAAGCAAAGGAAUCAAAUCCAGCUGGCUAACGGAUUUGAUGCUCUAGGACCGCGAGCUGUGACGUGUUACUAGCUCACUCAUGCACUGACAUUUUAGGGCUUUCGUCGCUUUCCUAUUUAAGGUUGUAACCCUCGACUGUAAAUCUUAUGUUGGAAUAAUACUGAAAGUUUUCCUCUUCAAUCUCUGUUUGUUACAAUAACUUCAAUGGAGACGAAGCUCUAUGAUUCCUAAUAUCUUCUGGGUUGACGGUAACAGUUUCUUGAUUUUUAUGUAACCUGAGAAUAUCAAAUUAUGGGUUGGAAUUGCGGUUUCUCGAUGCGUGCAUGCGUGGGCUAAGUAUCUGCUAUGAUUUGUUCGGUAGCCAACCUUAUGUUCCAUUGCCGAGUAUUCUCUAUACGUGCAAAUCCCUCAUGACUUUGGAACUUGAAGGACAGACUAUUCUUGUGGAUGUGCCUCAAACCGUUUUGUCUCCCUUACUUGAAGACCUUGCAACUUCGAUCUGUUAAAAUACUUUAAUUGAAGACUCCCUCCGACUGCUUCUGUCCCCAUUGUCCUGUUCUUGACGAUCUCUGUUUAUUGAGGGACAUGGAGACAUCGAUGACAAUAUGAGGGCAAUAGUUUUUAAAAUCCCGACUUUGCAGCGUUUGACCUAGCAGAUCUGUGAUCCUCCUUCUACGAAGCAUGUGAUCCUCCUUCUACGAAGCCCCUUCUAUAAAGUACUUCAAAAUCGAAGAUGAAGGAGAUGAUUCAUCUGUCAAACACCUUUCAUUACGUCAAUUAUUUAACGGUGUAGAUGAGUCUAUGUUUACUGUUGGCAUUGUCUUCAACCAGCUUGAACAUUUUAAGGUGUGUAUACACAGCGAAAACUGCUCCACUUUACUUCUCUGGUUGCUCAGAUAUUCUCCUAAACUGACAGUCCUUAAUCUUUACGUCGACGUUGUAAGAUUUCUUAUUUUCUGUUUUCAGCUAAAAUCUUGGCAUGAUGUAAUAUUGACUCUAUUUUUCUCUCUUCUUUCAUUAUCAUAGGAUAAUCAAGACUUUUAUGGUUAUUACCGUUUGAUUGGAAGAAAAGCUCUGUUCCUGAAUGUUUGCAGAUUACUCUCGAAACUUUCCUGAGUUUUUUUUUUCUUCAAAAAUGCUUGUUGCUUGAAGUGUACAUCAAUCACUGAUC